UAGAGGAAGUAAAAGUCGUAACAAGGUUUCCGUAGGUGAACCUGCGGAAGGAUCAUUAUUGAAUAUACUCGAUGGGUUGUAGCUGGCUCUCCSGAGCAUUGUGCACAUCUGUCUGGUUUUAUUAUUCAUCCACCUGUGCACCUUUUGUAGUCUUCUAGGAAUUGAAAAGUAACCCAUCUAAUCGAGUUCUUUCUCGGACGUGAGGAAUGCUUUGCAGCUCUCCUCAAUAUUUGGUUGAGUGAAAUAUUCACCCCCCCUAGAGUCUAUGUUUUCAUAUACCACAUAGUAUGUUAUAGAAUGUCGUCAAUGGGCCUUUGUGCCUAUAAAUGAUCUUAUACAACUUUCAGCAACGGAUCUCUUGGCUCUCGCAUCGAUGAAGAACGCAGCGAAAUGCGAUAAGUAAUGUGAAUUGCAGAAUUCAGUGAAUCAUCGAAUCUUUGAACGCACCUUGCGCUCCUUGGUAUUCCGAGGAGCAUGCCUGUUUGAGUGUCAUUAAAUUCUCAACCCCUCAUAGUUUUCUCUGUGAACGGGGCUUGGAUCUGGAGGUUUUGCUGGCCCCCUUUAAUAAAAAGGGGUCAGCUACUCUGAAAUGUAUUAGCGGAACCGUUUGCGAUCCGUCACAGGUGUGAUAAUUAUCUACGCCGUGUAAUCGCUCUCUGUCUGUUCAGCUGCCAAUCGGUCCAGUUUUGUAUGGACAAUCAUAUUGAAAAUUUGACCUCNAAAUCAGGUAGGACUACCCGRUGAACUUAAGCAUAUCAAUA
rnacentral:rRNA from 1 species